UAGAUUGAAGCCCUCUGGUUUGGGUUUUUAGUUGUUAAUAAAAUCUWUACGGGAUCGAGGCCCGUCAAUCUAG
rnacentral:tRNA from 1 species